rnacentral:rRNA from 1 species
UACGUAUGGUGCAAGCGUUAUCCGGAUUUACUGGGUGUAAAGGGAGCGCAGGCGGCACGGCAAGCCUGAUGUGAAAGCCCGCGGCCCAACCGCGGGACUGCAUUGGGAACUACCGGGCUGGAGUGCCGGAGAGGUAGGCGGAAUUCCUAGUGUAGCGGUGAAAUGCGUAGAUAUUAGGAGGAACACCAGUGGCGAAGGCGGCCUGCUGGACGAUGACUGACGUUGAGGCUCGAAAGCGUGGGGAGCAAACAGG